rnacentral:rRNA from 1 species
GAUGAACGCUGGCGGCGUGCCUAAUACAUGCAAGUCGAGCGAACGGACGAGAAGCUCGCUUCUCUGAUGUUAGCGGCGGACGGGUGAGUAAUACGUGGAUAACCUACCUAUAAGACUGGGAUAACUUCGGGAAACCGUAGCUAAUACCGGAUAUUAUUUUGAACCGCAUGGUUCAAAAGUGAAAGACGGUCUUGCUGUCACUUAUAGAUGGAUCCGCGCUGCAUUAGCUAGUUGGUAAGGUAACGGCUUACCAAGGCAACGAUGCAUAGCCGACCUGCGAGGGUGAUCGGCCACACUGGAACUGAGACACGGUCCAGACUCCUACGGGAGGCAGCAGUAGGGAAUCUUCCGCAAUGGGCGAAAGCCUGACGGAGCAACGCCGCGUGAGUGAUGAAGGUCUUCGGAUCGUAAAACUCUGUUAUUAGGGAAGAACAUAUGUGUAAGUAACUGUGCACAUCUUGACGGUACCUAAUCAGAAAGCCACGGCUAACUACGUG